CUGAGCCAAAGUCGGACACUUAACUGACUGAGCCUCCUGAAAGAGUUCAGCGGGCACACACCUUGAGAACAACUGCAACGCUCUUGAAGACAACUCAACACCACACUCAGACGUGGUCCCAAAAUUGUCAUUACCUCCCAUCCAUUUGCAAAGGGACCAUUAAUGUUUCCAAGAAUAUAACUAUUUUAUGUUUCAAUGUUUAAAUUGUUUUCCCAUAAGUGCUCUUCUCCCCUCCCCCUUCACCUAAGAAGAUGGUACAUAAACCCAAAUUCUAACUGCCCCUUAAAUCACAUUAUCUUUGUCAAGGCCCAUAUGUACAUAAUAUGAUUAAAAUCUGUCCUUUCUCCUGCUAAGCUGUUAGUAUGAGUUUAAUUUGCAGGCCUCCAGGCAAGGAACCUAAGAAAGAAGAGGGAAAGUUUUUCCUCUCCAACACUCUUUUGAUUUUCCUCCUGUUCUACAGAUCUACAAUAUUUAAUAGGGGACUAGACAUUGACAUCUCUGCAUCUGCUAGACACAUUUCUAAUACAACUGGUCAGAUAUGAACUCAUCUUUCCCUCGUACCUACUCUCUAUUACAGCUUUUAUAGUUACUUGGGUUUCCAUGUUUGGAGUCAGGUCAGAGCAAGACUGUGUUAGAAACGCAUGUGUUCUGCCCACACCCUCACAGAGCGCCCCUCUGCUGUUGCUCUGGCCACACCAACUUCUAACGGUGCGCCGUGAUCCUGGGCUUUGCAGCAUUCAUGAGGUUCUGCGACCUGCUGAAGACUCAGCCAGCCACAGCCCUCAAUUUGCAUGAGGCUGUGAGAAAAAACAAGUCUUUGAAGAAGCCAGGCUGCCUGAGUGGGCCCGUGUGGAACAGGAAGAGAACAGUGCUUACGGCACGGAGCUGUGCCCCAUCUUAUUCUGACACCAUGCUGGGUACAAGAGCCAGAGCCUCGGAUGGGCAGACAUGGAAACAGUUUCUUAUUUGCAUAGAGCUUGGCCCCCGCAAGGGUGAGCUGAGGACACGCCGAAUUGCCUUCUUGGCAAAGGCAGGAAGUCAGCUGCAAGGAGCUACCACUUUUCAACCCUGGGUGGCUUUUCCUUUUCUGUCAUUCGUUUUGGAAGAAAACAUACAUUUAAUUUCAAACAGAGCACAAGAACUUGGAAGAGGAGGGGAGAGAAGGCAGC
rnacentral:lncRNA from 1 species